UGAGGAAUAUUGGUCAAUGGACGAGAGUCUGAACCAGCCAAGUAGCGUGAAGGAUGACUGCCCUAUGGGUUGUAAACUUCUUUUAUAUGGGAAUAAAGUGAGCCACGUGUGGCUUUUUGUAUGUACCAUAUGAAUAAGGAUCGGCUAACUCCGUGCCAGCAGCCGCGGUAAUACGGAGGAUCCGAGCGUUAUCCGGAUUUAUUGGGUUUAAAGGGAGCGUAGGCGGGUUGUUAAGUCAGUUGUGAAAGUUUGCGGCUCAACCGUAAAAUUGCAGUUGAUACUGGCAUCCUUGAGUACAGUAGAGGUAGGCGGAAUUCGUGGUGUAGCGGUGAAAUGCUUAGAUAUCACGAAGAACUCCGAUUGCGAAGGCGGCUUUCUGGACUGUAACUGACACUGAGGCACGAAAGUGUGGGGAGCAAACAGG
rnacentral:rRNA from 1 species